GCCCAGAUUGGGAACUGGGACCUGCUGGUUGCAGAGCCGCUGGUCUGUGCUGCAGGUUCCAAGUGCGCGCAGAAUCGCCCGCGGGAGAACUGAGUUCGCUCGCUCCCUAUAGCGGAAGCUUCGGAGUCACCCAGGCAGCCUUUUAUAUAUGAAGGAGAGUUUCAGUUUCUCUUCUGCUCCCAGAAGCUUUAAGUUUCAGUUUCCAUUCAUCUCUAAUCAAAGUAGAUUUGGGGACUGUGGCUUUGAACAUCCUUCUGUAAAAGUUAGUACUGUUAAGAUUGGGAAAACGGAGACUUUGGGAUUCUUGAGGGAGUGACAGCCACAGACUUCCCAGGCCACUUUGAAAGCAGCCACCUAAAUGGACACACAGCUGUCUGCAGUUGUCUGACAGUGACCACCAUAUUCAAGAAUUAGAUAUCACCUCCCCGAAUCCAUCCAUGAGGCAACUGAAAAGCAAACUGGAAAAGAAAGAAAACUGUUAGUUUUAAUUUAAGAAAGGAAGAGCCAACGCCCCUUCUAAAUAUCCACUCGCCUUGGUAGAUUUAUGCUUCUCCUCUAAUGAAGAAAAAUAAAGAAAAUCAAAGUAUCCCCUUCAAUACAUUCCUUACUUUUAUAUCCACUCAAUUUUAAACAUUAAAGCUUCAGCCAUAAAAAUGAUGUUGACCUUUUGGAAGGAAUGCAUUCAUUGUGUAAGUACAAAGACCAUUCUGCUUGGCCUGUGAGCUCCCAGUGAAUUCUCUGGUCUCUGCUUCCUGACUUGCUGUAAGAGUGCUGAGAACUUACGUCCCACUUCGUUUGGGUUGUACAAGGGUUCUGAGGAACUAAACAUGGGUCAUGUUAAUGCCACCAGGCAAGAAUACGAGUUUGAGCCAAAUUUAAAGUAAGCUUGAUUUUAAUUAGGGUGUACCUGAGAGCUGACCAGUUGCCGCCUCCUAGGUAUUAUUAAAGAGAGCAAACCUGAGUCUGUUUCUUGGGGCCCUUUUAAGAAGUAAAACCAGGGGUAGUUGCUAAGCAGGUUUACAGAAGACAAUGGAGCAAUAAGUGCAGAAAAGUCUCAAGAAAAAAAAAAAAAACCCAACACCCAUUAUCCUGUGGCCACCAUGUGAUUAGAAAGCCGGAGGAUGCUGGAUUCUUACAGUAAAUACCCCUCUCUGUAAGUUUAUCUGGCAUUGUCUGCCACACUGCCCAUGAGUGAAACUGUGUGCAGAGAUCUCUGAGAGCUUGUGGAAAAACUCCAAAUAAGCAGGAGGAAUAUCUGUUCUUCUAUAACAUGGGUCAUUCUUGAAAAGUGCUUUCCUGCUUCUCCUGGGUAUAAAUAGGAAUGUAAAUAGUAAAUAUUCAAAGUCGUUCCCAAGAAUGAGUUGCCCUCCUGACUGUUUACAGCCUGAACGCAUGUGACCUUGCCCUUGUGGCUCUAUACAGCUUGGACUAAAGUGAACCUUGCUGAUGGGACUUUGCCUAAUAUUCAGAAAACCCACAGAGAAAAGUUGUCUGGUUUCCUG
ensembl:lncRNA